UUCAAAAACAAAGGUAAAUAGAAGGGGCAAGAAUGGAAGAGGGCAUACAGGACUUGCUCAGGACUGUUUGCUUUUGCCCACGGAAACUGCAGUGGCCUCGAGAAGCAGUUGAGUGGGUUGUAUAACCCUCAGCUGCUUCGGUCUCAACAGGGAAAAUACUGUCCUGGGUCUUACUUCCUGGAAAUGAAACAUGUUGCCUAGAGGUGGAGCACCCAUUCAGUGAGCCUGUGACGAAGGCCAUCUACCAAGAACAGGAGAAAGCUAGAAGGAGCCCAUAUCUCUGACUGCCCUCGACAGCCCACACAAGAACUCACGCUGGAAAAAGAAAGCCCUGUUUCAGUAAGCUCAUGCCUGCUUUUCCUGGAACCAGGAGGACUCCCACCCAGGUCCAUUCAAGUUGUGACACUGCUUGGCUUACUAAACUAUAAACAUUGAAAGGAAUGCUGGGACCUCCAAAAUCUGCAAUUACAUUUCUCGUAAAUGGCAACUCAUUGUCAUCCUGCGGACAUGGAUUAAACCACAGGACGGGGUCUGAACCGGGAACACUUGCAGGUUAACAGCAACAACAUCCAUCCCAACAGAAUCACCCCCAUCGCAGUGAGCAAUGAGCAAAAACAUGGCUCAGAAACUGUUUCCCCAGAUGUUCAAUAAAGGAUAUUUAAAUGAGACAUUUACCAUCUGGUUAAUAACACAGCAUUGAGUGGGACUUGGUAACAAUAUCCCAAUACGUAAGCUUUUAAAAUCAGUUCUUUUCCCUGAGCAUAAAACUGCUUCUCCAUCUGCCCUAUGAAAACAAGCGAUAAAUAAAUGUUUG